rnacentral:rRNA from 1 species
AGAGUUUGAUCCUGGCUCAGAAUGAACGCUGGCGGCAUGCCUAACACAUGCAAGUCGAACGAAGGCUUCGGCCUUAGUGGCGCACGGGUGCGUAACGCGUGGGAAUCUGCCCUUGGGUUCGGAAUAACAGUUAGAAAUGACUGCUAAUACCGGAUGAUGUCGUAAGACCAAAGAUUUAUCGCCCAAGGAUGAGCCCGCGUAGGAUUAGCUAGUUGGUGAGGUAAAAGCUCACCAAGGCGACGAUCCUUAGCUGGUCUGAGAGGAUGAUCAGCCACACUGGGACUGAGACACGGCCCAGACUCCUACGGGAGGCAGCAGUGGGGAAUAUUGGACAAUGGGCGAAAGCCUGAUCCAGCAAUGCCGCGUGAGUGAUGAAGGCCUUAGGGUUGUAAAGCUCUUUUACCCGGGAUGAUAAUGACAGUACCGGGAGAAUAAGCCCCGGCUAACUCCGUGCCAGCAGCCGCGGUAAUACGGAGGGGGCUAGCGUUAUUCGGAAUUACUGGGCGUAAAGCGCACGUAGGCGGCUUUGUAAGUUAGAGGUGAAAGCCCAGAGCUCAACUCUGGAAUUGCCUUUAAGACUGCAUCGCUUGAAUCAUGGAGAGGUGAGUGGAAUUCCGAGCGUAGAGGUGAAAUUCGUAGAUAUUCGGAAG